CUUCCAACUCAUAACAAUAAUCAUCAUUGAUGUCUAUAACAAUAAUACUUAAGAGAUGGAAAUAAACAAUUGUAACUAGUCAAAGCAAAUCACAUUUUUUUACAAGUUUGUGUUGAAAAUUUUAGUCAAAUUUAGUAAAACUAAAGGAGAAAACAUAUUUUGAAAAAUAUGAGUUUUACAUAUCUUGAAGUUACUUAUCACUCUUAAAUAUACACUUUAUUCAAAAACUAGCUUAGAAACUUUAAUUAACGUGAAUGUUGGUAACUCAUAUAUAUCCCCAAUUAAGUUAUAAAUUUCAUUCAGUAGCCCUAAUAUUGACUAAUAUACAUGAUUUAACAAAAAAAAUAUUAAAAAGUCUUUAUAAGUUUAGAGAAAGUAAAAGUUUAUUAAACAUUGACGCACACGACUUCCACGGAGGUCGUCUAGACGACUUCUAGGAAGUCGUCCAUUUAAGUUAGUUUUGCAAUUGAUUUUAACCUAGACGACUUACACGUUAGUCGUCCACCUUUUUUUGAUAAAAAAAAUCGAGACGACUUACAUGUAAGUCGUCUAGGGAAAACGGAUUAGUUUUGCAUUUGACCGAAAUGUGUCAAAAUUUGACUUUUCCUAGACGACUUACAAGUUAGUCGUCCAGUAGAAUUAAAAAAUUAAUAUUUUGUUUUUUUCUAGACGACUAACUUGCAAGUCCUCUCGGGUUAGUUUUGCAAUUGAAUUAUUAAACAAUUUUUUUUUCUAGACGACUUACACGUUAGUCGUCUCGAGUUUUUUUUUUCUAGACGACUUACACGUUAGUCGUCUCGAGUUUUUUUUUCCUAGACAACUAACCUGUAAGUUGUCCAAAAUAAGCAAAGUUUGACCAGAAUCUCGGAAUAAAAUUCUGGACGACUUACAUGUAAGUUGUCAGACGGACGACUUCCGUGUAAGUCGUCUAGAAAAAAUAACUUUUUUGGUAAAUAUUUCAAUUGCAAAACUAACCUGAGACGACUUACAUGUAAGUCGUCUAGAAAAAAAAUAUUAUUUUUUUAAUUUUCUACGGGACGACUACCUUGUAAGUCGUCCCGGAAAAGUCAAAUUUCUGACAUAUUCCGGUCAAAUGCAAAACUAACCCGUUUUCCCGAGACGACUUACAUGUAUGUCGUCUCGAUUUCUUGUUUUUUAUCAAACAAAGGUGGACGACUAACCUGUAACUUGUCUAGAAAAAAUAAAUUAAAAGUCAAUUGCAAAAUUAACAUCUGCAUUGACCAGACGACUUCCAAGUAAGUCGUCUACAGCCAGAAGACUUACCUGUAAGUCGUCCACACGAACAGAUCUAGAAAAAAUCUCAAUUUCAUAGUUUCAACCAGUGAGAUAACGUUUUUAGCACACAUAAGUCUUCUCCAAGCACCCAGAAUCUCAAACAAAAGUGACUCACCAAGAAUCUAAGCUUCAACGGCUCUAUGAACCAUACAAAAUUUAGAAUAAAUUUUUAGGUUUUUUGGAUGAAUAUGGAGAAAAAGUGAAAGAGAUGUUGUUUUUAGUUCAUAAGAAUUGAGAAAGAAAGAGUGUAAAUCAAUUUUUAAGUACAUUAAGAGCUUCAAAUUGGUUGUUCAUGGUUGUUGGUGUAUUGAUGGCAAUGGCAAUACUGUGAAUACUUGAGAAAGACGAGGGUGAUAGAGUAAAAUAUGCAUUUUCGAAAAAAAAGAAAAAAAAAGUGAUCGCAUUUUCGUGAAUAAUCUGAACUUUGGGGAUGAAAGAGGCAAGUCAAAGUUCCAAAAAAAAACAUGAGUUAGUUUUUUGUUUGACUUCAAGUUUUGAGUCACAUUUGCAAAAACUCCAUAAAUUUAUUUGAAAUUUAACAAAUUUAUUAGACGUAAUACUUUAAACUCUUUAUAUUUUCAUCUUUGUUAUAAAUAUUUUUAUCAAAUAUCUUUUUCGACCAUUUAUGUUUGAGAUCAUAUUAAUUUUAAGUAAUAUAUGGAACCUAGAAUUUUAUCGGUGACAUAUAUUUAUAAGAAGUCAUCAUAUUGUUUAUUUUAUUGUUAACUAGGGGUUGGCCCGCCCUACGGACGGGUGAAUUUACACUAAAUUUAUAUUAUAUUAAAAUUCAUUUUAAUUUUAUAAAAGUUUGAAAAUUUACUUUAAAUUGAAAAUAAUAAAUAUAGUUUCUUUUCUAAUUAGAUAUAUAUAUAUAUAUAUAUAUAUAUAUAUAUUUUGUUAACACUUGACCUUUGUUUAUAAAUUUUACGUGUUUGAAUUUUUAUUUGUUAUCAACUAUUUUAUUUUCAGUAUUCAUUUCAGUUAUGUUUCUAAUGGAAAUACGUUAUUUUUUCUUCCAUUUGCUUGCGAUUAUGUUUAGUAUUUUCAUAUAUUUUAAAUGGUGUGGUAAAGUUUUAUUUUUGAUUGUGGUAUAUCUGAAUGUAUUCUAUCCGUGAUUAUGAGUGUCUCUAACAAUGUUCUUAUUUAAAAAUUUACUUUAACUAAAUACUAAAAUCAUAUUACUUUGGGUAAUCUACUAUUCUUAUCUUUUCGAGUCUUUUUUUUGUUUAGUGUUAAUCAGAAAAAGUAUUCUUGUUCUUUAGUUGGACUCUUAGGAAAAAAAAUCCCAAUCUUGAGUUUCUAUAAAGUACAAUUUAAUUUCUAAUGUUAUGUAAGUUUGUAGUUUAAAUCUUAAAGCAAUAUUUCAUAUCAAAGCAGUUAAUAAUAUAUAGAAUCAACUAAAGGAUCAUUUUCUAAUGGAUUUCCCUGAAUGAAUGAAGUUUAAAUACAUAUAAAUUUACGUGUAGAUUUCUUAAUAGUUUUGCCAAUUAGAAUGUAGUUGCAAUUAUAUCUAGUAUGUAACAACACCAUGUUAUUGCAUUAGAAGAACAACAAACAACCGUCCAACGACAUAAACUAAUUUGAAUAGAUUAUGAACUUUGGUUAGAACUUAUUGGUUGACCAAAUUUUCUUUAGAAUCAUCAAACCCAAAAAGUAGAUUUUCAUUCUUUAUACAAAUUUUUUUAUUGUGUACAGUGGACGUGUUUAUAUUUAACCGGAAUGAAAAGAGACAUGGAUAUUUGUAACUUUGGAAAAACAACAAUGAUGUAGAAAUGAAUCUCUUUAAAAUCAUCAAACCCAAAAAAUAGAUUUUCAUUCUUUCAUAUCGAUACAAUUUUUUUUAUUAUGUAGAGUGGACGUGUUUAUCUUUAACCGGAAUGAAAAGAGACAUGGAUGUUUGUAACUCUUGAAAAACAAAAAUGAUGUAGAAAUGAAUAAUUUGAGGGAAAGUACUUUGAAACUACAGUUAAAGACAUCUAGGCCUGAAAGAUAAAACUCUGAUACCAGACUUUAUUUUGCAACAUAUGAAAAGUGAUUUCUCAAAAACAAAAAAAAAAACAAAAAAUGAUGUAGCAAAUCAUUUGAUCGCAUUUAAGAUUUUAUGAGAGCUUUUAUUCUUUGUUAUGUAUCAAGCUAUAAAAUUCUGAAAUUUUAAAAGUGAAACCAUUUGUUUUGAAAGAGAAACAAACAUGCAAACGAAAGUUGGAUGUUAUAAUGUAAGGGAAAAAUGGCAGACAGAAUAAAUGAACCCGGAUCACUCAUUGUUACGAUGAGUAAGACUUCUAAUCAUUGCUUAGAUUUAGAAAAUAAGAUGAUCUAGCUAAAGAAAGAAUAAAUACACAAACCCUUUCGUUUUCUCUUUUCUUUACAUGUAAAUAAUAAAAAUCGUUGUCCAAUCUAUCUUACUUAGUCCCAAACAUCUGUCUAGUUUGUGGAGAUCUUUCAUGUUUCUGAGUUCAUGGACUUCAUGGUAAUUUGAUAAAUGAAAAAAGAAGAAGAAAAAUAGAGAUAAAGAAUAGAGUGAGGUUCUGUCCUUUGAGUUUUGUCUCUUUAGCUUCAAGUUUUAACCUCAAUGGUAGAUGGGUCACCUAUUUUGGCUCAACAGGAUCCAAUUGUCUCACACCGACGGUCAUAGAAGAAGACGGAGAGACUUCAUAAGCAACAGUUUGAGCCACCACUUGUUGUGUAUUUGGGUUUAAUGGAGCACGGAGAGUGGAUCUUUGUGCGUUGGUCAUUCGAGGAGGAUGAUGAUGAUGGAGCUAAUGUGCUGAGCAAUCAAGACCCAAGAGGUUAAGGCGCAACAGGCAUGUCAGCGAGUGAAGAAUAAGAGGUCAUGGAGUGGUCUAUUUUGCAGGCUGACACAAACUUGCAAAUCCCAUGUUGAGCAUAGUGGUUGCAUUGCGCUGUCCCCUGCAAAUGAUAUUAUUUUUAGUAUUCACUUUGUUAUAACAUGCAUAUUAUUGUAUACAGAAAGAAGAAUUAUUUUCAUAAAUCUUUGUCAGAGAUCAUGAGAGAACUACCAACGUACGUAGUUGUUUCAGAGAAA